rnacentral:rRNA from 1 species
UCUGGUGAUGAUGGCGUAGAGGAAACACUCCUUCCCAUUCCGAACAGGAAAGUUAAGCUCUACAGCGUCAAUGGUACUGCAGGGGA